CCUUAUUUAAUCAAAAAAGAUAUAAUAAGGGCAAAUUUUAAGUUAUAUAAAAAUAUAUACAAGGG
rnacentral:tRNA from 1 species